AUGGUUAAGAACCUAGCAGCUGCUCAAGCAAAUGUCAUUAGGAACAUGAAGCUCAAGCUAGCUGAAGAGAGGAAGAACUUGCAGAACCACAUUGAUGAGCUGAAGAAGACAGUUGAAGAGAGCAAUGUGAAGCUGCAGGGGGUCAAGACCAUCAUAAAUGGACAAGCAGCAGAUGAUGAACUACCAGCACAUGUCCUCUGUGGUGGUGCAGCAAAAGUGGCCCUCUUCUUUGCUGGUCUAGGUGCUGUUGCAGAAGCAGAAGAUGCCCCCUUCUUUGGUGGUCCAGGUGUUGUUGCAGAAGCAGAAGAGGCCCUCUUCUUUGCUGGUCCAGGUGUUGUUGCAGAAGUAGAAGAGGCCCUCUUCUUUACUGGUCCAGGUGCUGUAGCAGAAGAAGAAGAUGCCCUCUGUGCUGGUGCUGGUGCAGUAGCAGCAGCACCAGCAGCAGAAGAGGCCCUCCUUGCUGGUGUGGCUGCAUCAGGUUCAUAG
rnacentral:rRNA from 1 species